rnacentral:rRNA from 1 species
UUGAACGAAGGCCCGGGGCUUGCCCCGGUCACCUUAGUGGCGGACGGGUGAGUAACGCGUGGGAACCUGCCCAGGGGCGGGGAAUAACCAUUGGAAACGAUGGCUAAUACCGCAUACGUCCUCAGGGAGAAAGGCUUCGGCCACCCUUGGAUGGUCCCGCGUCUGAUUAGGUUGUUGGUGGGGUAAAGGCCUACCAAGCCUACGAUCAGUAGCUGGUCUGAGAGGAUGAUCAGCCACACUGGGACUGAGACACGGCCCAGACUCCUACGGGAGGCAGCAGUGGGGAAUAUUGGACAAUGGGCGAAAGCCUGAUCCAGCAAUGCCGCGUGAGUGAAGAAGGCCUUAGGGUUGUAAAACUCUUUCGCCGGUGAAGAUGAUGACUGUAGCCGGUAAAGAAGCCCCGGCUAACUCCGUGCCAGCAGCCGCGGUAAUACGGAGGGGGCUAGCGUUGUUCGGAUUUACUGGGCGUAAAGCGCGCGUAGGCGGUAUAUCAAGUUAGGCGUGAAAGCCCCGGGCUCAACCCGGGAACUGCGCUUAUUACUGAUAAACUAGAGUCCGGGAGAGGGUGGCGGAAUUCCCAGUGUAGAGGUGAAAUUCG